rnacentral:lncRNA from 1 species
UGGGGUCUUAAUUUGGCUUGUUUAAUCAUGUUUGGCUACGCUUAAAAUGGUUUACUUUUAAGUAACUUAAUCAUAAGUUAUCCAAUGAUAUCUGCAAACAAAAGUAGUUGAAAAGUUACUUUAGUUUUUUAUUAAGCUUAACCAAACAUGCUUUUAAUCUCUUGACUUUACUUUGACAGCAGCAUCCUGUGUAGUCCCUCAUUU